ACCCUUGUGGAGGAGGACGCCGAAGGUGGGGCUAAUGACUGGGGUGAAGUCGUAACAAGGUAGCCGUACCGGAAGGUGCGGCUGGAUCACCUCCUAACAGGGAGACAACAAAAUGUUUAAUAUUAUUUUGUCACCUUAGGUCGAUCGGUAUCUCACAUUCUCGAUUUAUUGAGGAUUUCAUUUCCUAAGUUUUUCUAGGUCACACCCAUUAUUUUCCCUGGGCCAUUAGCUCAGGUGGUUAGAGCGCACCCCUGAUAAGGGUGAGGUCCCUGGUUCAAGUCCAGGAUGGCCCAUAUCUCUAUGUUGGGGGUAUAGCUCAGUUGGUAGAGCGCCUGCUUUGCAAGCAGGAUGUCAGCGGUUCGAGUCCGCUUACCUCCACUGAUCACCACCUCUUCCAUAAUUUAUAGAAGGGAAUUUUUUUGAGUUGUGAUCAAAUCUGAACGAAUCUAGCUUCCUAAUGAAAUCAUUAAGAUGCUGGACUCAUUGAAUUAAUUUCAUUGUUUUCAGAGAACCUUGACAACUGCAUAGAUUAUUUUUAAAGACAAUAAGCAUCUUUAAUGAUGCAGAUUUAUUAUUUGUGCGAAUGCAUUAAUAACAAUUCUAUUAAGCUGAUGCUUCAAUUUUUGAAGUUAUUGGUCAAGCUACAAAGGGCUCACGGAGGAUACCUAGGCACACAGAGGCGA
rnacentral:misc_RNA from 1 species